ensembl:lncRNA LINC01673 long intergenic non-protein coding RNA 1673
AGAAGACAUGGUAUCCCAGCAACCAAAUGUACAACACAGGAGACAGAUGAAUUUCUCAUUCUUGUAGGCUACCAUUUCUUUUGGCUUAUUACAAAACAACAGGAUGCUGCAGCUUUAUCAAAGUCUACUUAUUUGUCCACUAAAAGUUUAUGGCUAUACGUUUCCAACUAGAACAUCUGAACACCAAUAUAUGGAAUUCUGACAAAGUUAAAACCAGGAAGAGAUCCUAUGAAGGCUGACAUUUUGUACAUCUGUUUUAUAGAACAAUAAAAAUAAGAAGAACAAGAAUAAGAACAGCAACAACAUUUGCAGCCACUGUCUAGACCACAGGAAACCUGGUCAACAACAUAUGGGAUGUCACCAGAUUCAGACUCAGAAGUUUCCAUAAUGCCGUUGCCAACAGCUAGACACAAAACCUGAGCCUGAGAAUUUGCUUAUGGAUUGUAUAUGAUGCCAGGAAAUGGAAUAGAGGACUGGGAAGAGUGAGAGAAGGAAGAGAAGCCAGGAGGAGAGUAUGUUACGAGCUGUGAAUAAUUGGGACUUGAUUCCACUGAGCUCCUUUGAAGUAUCUGAGAAUUUGACUGCAGAAUUGUGAACCUGAAAAUCACAGAAAAGAGAAUAUUUAUCUAUUGAACCUUCUCUUCAUCUUGCAUUGGUCAAGAGUUGUCCUACGGGAUAUUAAGACACUUGCACUUUCAAGUUUGCAGAAGUAUGGGAACGAAAGCAUCCAAAAAGCCCUGAGGCAGGAAGCAAGCUGAGACAAGGUGUUGGUGAUGAUGGUACACCUGGAUGAAGCUAACUUCAGCAGCAAUAGUUGCUGAAUGAAUUUUUCAUUUCAUCUAAGUUGCCACAUUCAUCAGCAUAAAAUUGUUAAUGAUAUUCUUUUAGAACUUGGAGGGUGGUAGGAGAGAGAGGAGCAGAAAAAAAUAACUAUUGGAUAUGAGCCUUAAUACCUGGGUUUUGACAUAAUCUGUACAACAAACCUCCAUGAAACAAGUUUACCUAUAUAACAAACCUUCACAUGCACCCCCAAAUCUAAAAUAAAAGUUGAAGCAACAAAACAAACUAAGAA